rnacentral:rRNA from 1 species
AGUGAACGCUGGCGGUAGGCCUAACACAUGCAAGUCGAACGGCAGCACAGUAAGAGCUUGCUCUUACGGGUGGCGAGUGGCGGACGGGUGAGGAAUACAUCGGAAUCUACUUUUUCGUGGGGGAUAACGUAGGGAAACUUACGCUAAUACCGCAUACGACCUACGGGUGAAAGCAGGGGAUCUUCGGACCUUGCGCGAUUGAAUGAGCCGAUGUCGGAUUAGCUAGUUGGCGGGGUAAAGGCCCACCAAGGCGACGAUCCGUAGCUGGUCUGAGAGGAUGAUCAGCCACACUGGAACUGAGACACGGUCCAGACUACUACGGGAGGCAGCAGUGGGGAAUGUUGGACAAUGGGCGCAAGCCUGAUCCAGCCAUACCGCGUGGGUGAAGAAGGCCUUCGGGUUGUAAAGCCCUUUUGUUGGGAAAGAAAAGCAGCAGGUUAAUACCCCGCUGUUCUGACGGUACCCAAAGAAUAAGCACCGGCUAACUUCGUG